GGCUGGCUGUUUGAGGACUGCGCGCGGAGCUCCGUGGCGGGUGUCUGAAGUCGUGAGUUUACUGCUUGUAAGGAACAUAGCGAUCACUGGGAACCUGGAAGUAGAGACUCCUUUCUGCCAUCCAUCCGUCCCUCGGGCUGCUGCGAAUCCCCCCGCCGGCCUCCAGGACCCCGGGCUGACUGAACGCCCGCACCGGUCCCGCCGCCCCAGGGCCCGCUACGCGCCCGGCAUAAUGGGAGAAAAAUCACGACGGAAAGGCCCAGCCCCUCGCCAUGCAGACGGGAAGCUUGGCCGCACGUGUGAUCACCCUUACGCCCCUUGGAGUUUCACCCCCUCUUCGCGGGCUCCAACAGCCUGGGUCAGGCCUCCUUGUCCUGUGUGGGCCUCUCGGCUGCAAGAACACAGUCCCGAGCCCCGGCGAGCCCGCGCGCCUCCCACCCGCCGUGCACAGGCUGCACUUUACGCCCCAGCACUGCGCCUGCGGGACCAUCUGGAUCGCUUUUCCAUUCUGAUGACGUCCUGUACUUCGUGGCUGCAGGCUCCUCAAGCCCCAGGUCUGUGCAGAGACGAGCAAAGCAGCAGAAUAUCCGUGCCACAGCUUUCUGGAGCACCCAUUUUACUACCAGAUUUGGAAGGAACGAAGUUAAGUAAUUUCCAAGAAUCAUCUCCCCUGCCCCACAAACAUGAAAGAAAAGACAAGAGAAGCACCCCAGAAGAGGAGGGGAGAAGUGCCCCAGAAAAAAUCAUCCAGUCUCUGAAGCUUUGCCCAGGAGCCAGCUGAGGAGGUGUGUCAUGCAACUUGCCCCCCCAGCCCUCCCCUUCUAAGGAACCCCCACACCUGCUCUGUCUUCCUGCUACAGUCUCUGAGAAAAGCCCUUUCAUCUGUCAAGAACUACAAAAGUCAUUCUUUAAGCAGUGCUAAAUAAACAAUGAAACAGACACAAAGUUAAAGUUACCUGAUCCAAAAAGGAGUGAAGCCUAGACCCCAGCCCACUGACUCAGUCUCUAAGACCCCUCACUCAAAUCUUCAAUCAACAGUGGAGAUGGCUGUGAGCUCUUCUGAUUCCAGAUGACAAUACUCCUCCCUUUAAUUCCUUGAUAUGUUUAAUUAUGUAAGUAAAUUUAAUAUAAAAAUCAUUGCA
rnacentral:lncRNA from 1 species